rnacentral:rRNA from 1 species
UACGAAGGGGGCUAGCGUUGCUCGGAAUGACUGGGCGUAAAGCGCACGUAGGCGGCUUUGUAAGUCGGAUGUGAAAUCCCUCGGCUUAACCAAGGAAGUGCAUCCGAAACUACAGAGCUUGAGUACUUAAGAGGAUCGCGGAAUUCCCGGUGUAGAGGUGAAAUUCGUAGAUAUCGGGAGGAACACCAGUGGCGAAGGCGGCGAUCUGGGAAGAUACUGACGCUGAGGUGCGAAAGCGUGGGGAGCAAACAGGG